rnacentral:rRNA from 1 species
GACGAACGCUGGCGGCGUGCUUAACACAUGCAAGUCGAACGGAAGGGCCCUGCUUUUGUGGGGUGCUCGAGUGGCGAACGGGUGAGUAACACGUGAGUAACCUGCCCUUGACUUUGGGAUAACUUCAGGAAACUGGGGCUAAUACCGGAUAGGAGCUCCUGCUGCAUGGUGGGGGUUGGAAAGUUUCGGCGGUUGGGGAUGGACUCGCGGCUUAUCAGCUUGUUGGUGGGGUAGUGGCUUACCAAGGCUUUGACGGGUAGCCGGCCUGAGAGGGUGACCGGCCACAUUGGGACUGAGAUACGGCCCGGACUCCUACGGGAGGCAGCGGUGGGGAAUAUUGCACAAUGGGCGGAAGCCUGAUGCAGCAACGCCGCGUGCGGGAUGACGGCCUUCGGGUUGUAAACCGCUUUCGCAUGUGACGAAGCGUGAGUGACGGUAAUGGGUAAAGAAGCACCGGCUAACUACGUG